rnacentral:rRNA from 1 species
GAUGAACGCUGGCGGCGUGCCUAAUACAUGCAAGUCGAGCGAACAGACGAGGAGCUUGCUCCUCUGACGUUAGCGGCGGACGUGUGAGUAACACGUGGAUAACCUACCUAUAAGACUGGGAUAACUUCGGGAAACCGGCUCUAAUACCGUAUAAUAUAUUGAACCGCAUGGUUCAAUAGUGAAAGACGGUUUUGCUGUCACUUCUAGAUGGUUCCGCGCCGCAUUAGCUAGUUGUUAAGGUAACGGCUUACCAAGGCGACGAUGCGUAGCCGACCUGAGAGAGGGAUCGGCCACACUGGAACUGAGACACGGUCAAGACUCCUACGGGAGGCAGCAGUAGGGAAUCUUCCGCAAAGGGCGAAAGCCUGACGGAGCAACGCGGCGUGAGUGAUGAAGGUCUUCGGAUCGUAAAACUCUGUUAUUAGGGAAGAACAAAUGUGUAAGUAACUAUGCACGUCUUGACGGUACCUAAUCAGAAAGCCACGGCUAACUACGUG